rnacentral:rRNA from 1 species
UACAGAGGGUGCGAGCGUUGUUCGGAAUUAUUGGGCGUAAAGGGCGCGUAGGCGGCGCCACAAGUCACCUGUGAAAACUCUGGGUUCAACCCAGAGCCUGCAGGCGAAACUGUGGUGCUGGAGUAUGGGAGAGGUGCGUGGAAUUCCCGGUGUAGCGGUGAAAUGCGUAGAGAUCAGGAGGAACACCGGUGGCGAAGGCGGCCUACUGGGCCAGCACUGACGCUGAGGCGCGAAAGCUCGGGGAGCGAACGGG